rnacentral:rRNA from 1 species
AGAGAGAGACAUGCGCGCAUAUCAAUAAGCGGAGGAAAAGAAACUAACAAGGAUUCCCUUAGUAACGGCGAGUGAAGCGGGAAGAGCUCAAAUUUGAAAUCUUCAAGGUUUUACCUUGACGAAUUGUAGUUUAAAGAAGUGUUUUCUGCUGAAGUUUUGGUAAAAGUUCUUUGGAUAGGACAUCAUAGAGGGUGAGAAUCCCGUAUUUGACCAUUAUUUUCAGCUUUGUGAUACACUUUCAAAGAGUCGGAUUGUUUGGGAAUGCAGUCCAAAAUGGGUGGUAAAUUUCAUCUAAAGCUAAAUAUUGGCGAGAGACCGAUAGCGAACAAGUACCGUGAGGGAAAGAUGAAAAGAACUUUGAAAAGAGAGUUAAACAGUACGUGAAAUUGUCAAAAGGGAAGCGUUUGACACCAGUGUUGUUUUCUCGAAAAUCAAUUAAAAAUGGCUCGAUUUUGUAUUGUUGAGACCUUAAAAGCUCACUGUACAUUUUUCGUGUCUUUUUCAAUGCACUUUUCGUUUAACAAGUCAACAUCAGUUUCUUUUGUUGUAAAAGGGUCAUUGGAAGGUGGCUUUCUUUUCGGAGAAAGUGUUUAUAGCCUUUGGCCUCUGCAAUCGAAGAGACUGAGGUCUGCAGCGUAGACUCUUCGGGGUUAGAUACAUUUGUGCUAAGUUAUAGCUUUUUAUAGACAACUUGUUGACUAUAAUUAGUCUUGUAGCUUACUCGCUUAUGCUAUUUUACCUACGCUUAGGAUGUUGAAGAUGUAGCACAUCAU